rnacentral:lncRNA from 1 species
ACCAUUUAUCCCCUCUUAUGAUUAUCAUGCAGGACAUGUUCUUAUAGCUAUUAUAGCUUCAUGUACAUCGAUGCCCUAUACUUUAAGGAUCCCUGACAUCUCAAUCUUCCUCUUGUUUUUUCCUUGUAAGGUAUGUCAGAAUCUAGGAAACCUCCUGCAAGCGGUUUCUCUGCAACCAAGCCAGGGAAACGAUGGCACUGAAAGUGGAGGGAGUUUUAAGAUGGUAGAAGAAUUGACACUUAACCUUAGCAGCUGGUGUCUCUAACUGAAAAUGAUUAUCGUUACCUCUAGUUGCUUCCAUUUGUCUCGUGGAAGUGUUUGUAUUUGUAUAUACUCAAGGAUGGGCAAAAUGGUAACUCACGUUGGUUUUACCAUUUUGUCACUAUUUAUAUCACGUUCUGUUUUUUGUUUUUAUUUGACACUACUAACUCUUGUUUUUCACUCUUGUUUUUUUUUUUUUUUAAAAAAAAUAGUCCGAAGGCCAAAAGAACAGAGAUUAAUAUUAAUUAACAAUAACAAUACAAUUAACAUUUAACAAAUUAACAAUAAUGAUUGUCGUUACCUCUAGUUGCUUCCAUUUGUCUCGUGGAAGUGUUUGUAUUUGUAUAUACUCAAGGAUGGGCAAAAUGGUAACUCACGUUGGUUUUACCAUUUUGUCACUAUUUAUAUCACGUUCUGUUUUUUGUUUUUAUUUGACACUACUAACUCUUGUUUUUCACUCUUGUUUUUUUUUUUUAAAAAAAAAAUAGCCCGAAGGCCAAAAGAACAGAGAUUAAUAUUAAUUAACAA